CUCUUUUGUGACCCCAUAGACUGGAGCCCACCAGGCUCCUCUGUCCAUGGGACUUCCCAGGCAAGAAUAUUGGAGUGGGUUGCCAUUUUCUUCUCCAAGGAUCUUCCAGACCCAGGGAUCAAACCAUGUCUCUUGGGUCUCUUGCACUGAAGGCAGAUUCUUCACUGCUACGCCACUGGGGCUUCCCAUAAGCCUUCCCUUUUGCAGAAGGGUAUGGACUUCUACCCACCAUUCCAAAUAAAUAGCAGACUCUGAGGCUAAAAUCCCCUAUUUAAUGAUGAGUAGAAGUCUGAAGAGUGGACACCCUUGACUUGAUCACGAUCUUUGGGAAAAGGCAGCGUGAUGCAGUGGAAAGAAUACAAGAUUCUGGAAUUAGAAAAACUGGGCAUGAGUCCCAGACUCUGUGCUACCAGCUGUGUGACCUUGGAGUACAUCCUGAGAAACCUGGGCUGGAAGAAGCACAAGCUGGAAUCAAGAUUGCCGGGAAAAAUAUCAAUCACUUCAGAUAUGCAGAUGAUACCACCCUUAUGGCAGAAAGUGAAGAGGAACUAAAAAACCUCUUGAUGAAAG
ensembl:lncRNA